GCUAGUGCCUGGGUAUGCUGGCAGACUCAUUAUCCUCUUGUCAACAACUGGACCUCCAACUGUAAAAUGAUAGAGGCUCUGAAACUUUGAUCCUUUCAGCCCAAGAACCUCAUGUACAGGAUCAUCAAAGAAACAACCAAUCCCGGUAGCAGAGAUGCCAACAGCAUGUGAUUCAAGAUACAAAACUUGUCCGAGCACUCCUGUCUCCCAAAAUAGCCGUGGGUACAUCCAGGAACCCUUGUUGCGCAAAGUGGGCUCGAAAUGCGCAAUCAUGCCCAAGCUGAAGCAGCCAUCACUAGCAAUGUCCUGAUGGCAUGACAAUCGUUUUGAAAGCUCCCUGCAGUCUCCACUUGCAAGCUCAUAUAAAGGAAGAUCAUCCGGACAACCAUCUGGUUUCACCCAUUUAAACUCGGCUCUAGUAUCUUUCUUAAGAUCAUCCAGAUGGUUCUCAUUUCUCACCAAAA
rnacentral:misc_RNA from 1 species